UACGUAGGGUGCGAGCGUUGUCCGGAAUUAUUGGGCGUAAAGAGCUCGUAGGCGGUUUGUCGCGUCUAUCGUGAAAACCUGGGGCUUAACUCCGGGCUUGCGGUGGAUACGGGCAGACUUGAGUUCGGUAGGGGAGACUGGAAUUCCUGGUGUAGCGGUGAAAUGCGCAGAUAUCAGGAGGAACACCGGUGGCGAAGGCAGAUCUCUGGGCCGUAACUGACGCUGAGGAGCGAAAGCAUGGGGAGCGAACAGG
rnacentral:rRNA from 1 species